GACGAACGCUGGCGGCGUGCUUAACACAUGCAAGUCGAACGGACAGACAGAGAGCUUGCUCUCUUGAAGUUAGUGGCGAACGGGUGAGUAACGCGUAAUCAACCUGCCCUUCAGAGGGGGAUAACAACGGGAAACCGUUGCUAAUACCGCGUACGAUUCAUGAACGGCAUCGUUUAUGAAUGAAAGGUGGCCUCUAUGUAUAAGCUAUCGCUGAUGGAGGGGAUUGAGUCUGAUUAGCUAGUUGGAGGGGUAACGGCCCACCAAGGCAAUGAUCAGUAGCCGGUCUGAGAGGAUGAACGGCCACAUUGGGACUGAGACACGGCCCAAACGCCUACGGGAGGCAGCAGUGGGGAAUCUUCCGCAAUGGACGAAAGUCUGACGGAGCAACGCCGCGUGAGUGAUGAAGGUCUUCGGAUUGUAAAGCUCUGUUAAUCGGGACGAAAGAGUUCUGCGCGAAUAAUGCAGAAAAGUGACGGUACCGGAAUAGGAAGCCACGGCUAACUACGUGCCAGCAGCCGCCGUAA
rnacentral:rRNA from 1 species